ACCUGGUUGAUCCUGCCAGUAGUCAUACGCUUGUCUCAAAGAUUAAGCCAUGCAUGUCUAAGUAUAAACAUCUUUAUACCGUGAAACUGCAGAUGGCUCAUUAAACCAGAAAUAAUUUCUUUGAUGGUGACUUACUACUUGGAUAUCCGUAGUAAUUCUAGAGCUAAUACAUGCGUCGACUCCUUUACUGGAGGUAUUUAUUAGAUCCGAACCAACCCCUCCGGGGUUUUAUGGUGAAUCAUGAUAACUGUUCGAAUCGCCGGGCUGGUCCUGGCGAUAGUUCAUUCAAAUUUCUGCCCUAUCAGCUAUUGACGGUAGUGUAGUGGACUACCGUGGCGUUAACGGGUGACGGAGAAUUAGGGUUCGAUUCCGGAGAGGGAGCCUGAGA
rnacentral:rRNA from 1 species